rnacentral:rRNA from 1 species
GUAACGGCGAGUGAAGCGGCAACAGCUCAAAUUUGAAAUCUGGCCCCUAGGGUCCGAGUUGUAAUUUGCAGAGGAUGCUUUUGACAAGGUGCCUUCCGAGUUCCCUGGAACGGGACGCCAUAGAGGGUGAGAGCCCCGUCUGGUCAUAGGCGCUU